GCUUGCUUUCUUUGCUGGCGACCGGCGCACGGGUGAGUAACACGUAUCCAACCUACCCUUUACUCGGGGAUAGCCUUUCGAAAGAAAGAUUAAUACCCGAUAGCAUAAUGAUUCCGCAUGGUUUCAUUAUUAAAGGAUUCCGGUAAAGGAUGGGGAUGCGUUCCAUUAGGUUGUUGGCGGGGUAACGGCCCACCAAGCCUUCGAUGGAUAGGGGUUCUGAGAGGAAGGUCCCCCACAUUGGAACCGAGACACGGUCCAGACUCCUACGGGAGGCAGCAUG
rnacentral:rRNA from 1 species